rnacentral:rRNA from 1 species
GAUGAACGCUGGCGGCGUGCCUAAUACAUGCAAGUCGAGCGAACGGACGAGAAGCUUGCUUUUCUGAUGUUAGCGGCGGACGGGUGGGUAACACGUGGAUAACCUACCUAUAAGACUGGCAUAACUUCGGGAAACCGGAGCUAAUACCGGAUAAUAUUUUGAACCGCAUGGUUCAUAAGUGAAAGACGGUCUUGCUGUCACUUAUAGAUGGAUCCGCGCUGCAUUAGCUAGUUGGUAAGGUAACGGCUUACCAAGGCAACGAUGCAUAGCCGACCUGAGAGGGUGAUCGGCCACACUGGAACUGAGACACGGUCCAGACUCCUACGGGAGGCAGCAGUAGGGAAUCUUCCGCAAUGGGCGAAAGCCUGACGGAGCAACGCCGCGUGAGUGAUGAAGGUCUUCGGAUCGUAAAACUCUGUUAUUAGGGAAGAACAUAUGUGUAAGUAACUGUGCACAUCUUGACGGUACCUAAUCAGAAAGCCACGGCUAACUACGUG